rnacentral:tRNA from 1 species
GCCGAGAUCGCAUAAUCUGGUAUUGCACUGGACUGCUAAUCCAGGCCCUUCGGGGCAUCUGGGUUCAAAUCCCAGUCUCGGCG